rnacentral:rRNA from 1 species
CUCGUCGGAUCAGCCCGCUCCCGGUAAAACGGGACGGCCCGCCAGAGGACCCCUAAACUCUGUUUCUAUAUGUAACUUCUGAGUAAAACCAUAAAUAAAUCAAAACUUUCAACAACGGAUCUCUUGGUUCUGGCAUCGAUGAAGAACGCAGCAAAAUGCGAUAAGUAAUGUGAAUUGCAGAAUUCAGUGAAUCAUCGAAUCUUUGAACGCACAUUGCGCCCGCCAGUAUUCUGGCGGGCAUGCCUGUUCGAGCGUCAUUUCAACCCUCAAGCCCCCGGGUUUGGUGUUGGGGAUCGGCGAGCCCUUGCGGCAAGCCGGCCCCGAAAUCUAGUGGCGGUCUCGCUGCAGCUUCCAUUGCGUAGUAGUAAAACCCUCGCAACUGGUACGCGGCGCGGCCAAGCCGUUAAACCCCCAACUUCUGAAUGUUGACCUCGGAUCAGGUAGGAAUACCCGCUGAACUUAAGCAUAU